GUGUCAGCAGCCGCGGUAAUACGAACCGUCCUAACGUUAUUCGGAAUCACUGGGCUUAAAGGGUGCGUAGGCGGCCCGAUAAGUUGGGUGUGAAAUCCCUCGGCUCAACCGAGGAAUCGCGCUCAAAACUGUCGGGCUCGAGGAAGAUAGAGGUAAGCGGAACUUAGGGUGGAGCGGUGAAAUGCGUUGAUAUCCUAAGGAACACCGGUGGCGAAAGCGGCUUACUGGGUCUUUACUGACGCUGAGGCACGAAAGCUAGGGUAGCGAACGGGAUUAGAUACCCCGGUAGUCCUAGCCGUAAACGAUGAGCACUAGGUCGGAGGAUACUCCAUAGUCUUCUGGCCGUAGCGAAAGUGUUAAGUGCUCCGCCUGGGGAGUAUGGUCGCAAGGCUGAA
rnacentral:rRNA from 1 species